AUGCUCCCACCUUCUCUCUAUAACUGGUCAUCUAUUGAAGUAUUUUCAGUAGGGUUUAAUAUGUUGUAUGGAAGCAUUCCGGGUGAUAUCGGAAGCAAGUUCCCCAAGCUGCAACAUUUUGCCUUGACUCGCAAUCACUUCACGGGAACCAUCCCUUCUUCAAUAUCCAACAUAUCUUCACUCGAAGUACUUCGCCUCAUAAAUAAUAGAUUCAGGGGUUACGUACCUCCCACAUUGGGGAAGCUGGGAACUAUCCAAGAACUGAGUUUGGCUUACAAUAGGCUUGAAGCUAAUGAUAACAAGGGGUGGGAAUUCAUCAUUUCUUUAGCAAACUGCAGUCAACUGCAGCAAUUGAUACUCGGCUUCAAUUCUUUUGAAGGUCAACUACCGAAUUCAAUCAUGAACCUCUCAACGAAUCUCCAGAAGUUAUACUUAGGGUACAAUAGGAUCUCUGGGAGUAUUCCUGCAGAUAUCGGCAGUUUAGUUGGUCUGGAAUCACUUAUAAUAGGAAAUAAUUAUUUAUCUGGAGUGAUUCCAGAGAGCAUUGGUAAGCUAGAGAACUUGAACGAGCUAACCUUGUCAAAUAAUAGGUUGUCUGGCCUCAUGCCAUCAUCGCUAGGGAACCUUUCGCAGUUGAUUUCGUUUUAUGCAAGCUAUUGCAACUUGGAGGGACCACUUCCAGCAAGCCUGGGGGGAUUGAAAAACCUCUUUGCACUAGAUUUGUUAAGGAAUUACAAUCUUAACGGUUCAAUACCAAGAGAGAUCUUCAAACUACCCAGCCUUUCUUGGUAUUUGGACUUGUCAUACAAUUCCCUUUCUGGACUCAUUCCUAUGGAAGUCGGUAGUUUGGCAAAUCUUAAUGAACUGACUCUAUCAGGAAAUCGGUUGUCUGGCCAGAUACCAUAUAGUAUUCAGAACUGCAUAGUGUUGGAAUUGUUGUUGUUAGACAAUAAUUUGUUUGAUGGAAGCAUACCUCAAUCACUGAAGAAUAUAAAGGGACUCAGUAAAUUGAACUUGACAAUGAAUAAGUUCUCUGGUAGUAUUCCUAUUGCCCUUGGCAGUAUUGGAAACCUGCAUGAACUGUACCUAGCACACAACAACUUGUCAGGGUCAAUCCCAUUAGUUCUACAAAAAGUGAUAUCAUUGACAAAAUUGGAUGUAUCCUUCAACAAUUUGCAAGGUAAGGUGCCGAAUGAAGGCGUUUUCAGAAAUAUCACUUACUUAGCAGUUGUUGGGAAUAUCAAUUUGUGUGGUGGUACACCUCAGCUUCAGUUGGCUCCAUGCCCCACAGACCCCUUAAACAAGAACAGGAAAAAGAUGUCAAAGUCUCUUGUAAUUUCUCUAGCGGUAGUUGGAGCGAUCAUGUUCUCACUUUCAUUUAUUCUUCUUGCUUGGAUACUAUACAAGAAGCUCAAACCAAGCAAAAUGAUAUUAGCACCAAAUUCAAUCAUCGAUGAAAAUUACAACAGAAUUCCCUCUCAUGCACUAUUUAGAGGAACUAAUGAAUUUUCAGAAGUGAACUUGCUUGGGAGAGGAAGUUAUGGCGCUGUUUAUAAGUGUGUUUUGGACACCGAAGAAUUAACAUUGGCUGUCAAGGUGUUUAAUCUUGGUCAAUCUAGGUAUUCAAAGAGUUUUGAGGCUGAAUGUGAGGCCAUGAGAAGGAUACGACACCGUUGUCUCAUCAAGAUCAUUACUUCUUGUUCGAGUAUCAACCAUCAAGGUCAAGAGUUCAAGGCAUUGGUUUUUGAGUUCAUGCCAAAUGGUAACUUGGAUCGAUGGCUUCAUCCGAAAUCUCAAGAGCCCAAUACAAACAACACACUCAGCCUUGCCCAGAGGCUUGAUAUUGUUGUCAAUAUUGUGGAUGUUGUAGAAUAUCUGCACAACUACUGCCAACCAUUGGUAAUCCAUUGCGAUCUUAAGCCAAGCAACAUUCUUCUUGCUGAAGACAUGAGCGCACGAGUUGGAGAUUUUGGCAUAUCAAGGAUCCUUCAAGAAAAUACAGGCGAGGGGAUGCAAGCUUCUUCAACUGGGAUUAGAGGUUCCAUUGGCUAUGUUGCUCCAGAGUACGGAGAAGGCUCUGUUGUCUCAACAGCUGGUGAUAUUUAUAGUCUUGGCAUAUUGCUGCUUGAGAUGUUUACUGGAAGGAGCCCAACAGAAGGCACAUUCCAAGAUUCAUUGGAUUUGCAUAAGUUUGUCCAGGAUGCUCUUCCAGAUAGAGCCUUUGAGAUAGCAGACACGACAAUGUGGCUGCACAUCGGCCACCAUGAUAACAUUGCAAGUAUUAGAAUUCAGGAGUGCUUGAUCUCGAUCUUCAGGCUUGGCCUAUCCUGCUCAAAGAAACAGCCUCGAGACCGAGCUCUGACGAGAGAUGUAGCGAGAGAGAUGCAUGCAAUCAGAAAUGCACACCUCAAGUUUAUUGGGAGGCCUGGACCAGAAAGAGAAGCCUCGACUAGAGAAAUUCAGAGCAUCAUCGAAUAA
rnacentral:rRNA from 1 species